CUGAGAGAAAGGGCGGUCCAGGUGCUUGUCCCCUCGCUCUCUUUCGAAAGACAUCCGAGGCUCAUUAGGCCUAUUGAGCUUGCACAAAGGGACCAGCUGUGCAAAGCAGGGACGGUCCUGCCCCUCAGGAGCUUGUCCUUCCGAGUGCCAGGGGACUCUCUCUACAGAAACUAUGCAGGCGGGGGAGAACUCUAAGGCAGGGACCCCAAGCACAUCUCUCCCUGUGACACUGGGUGUGGGACGGCAGAAUGCCGCAGCACCACGGACAUGAUGGCCACAGGAGGAGGUGACACAGACACACCGAGCCCUUCUGUGCUAGCUAUGAUCCUAGAGGGGGUCCUGGGUCCUCUUUGCUUGCGGGAUGCCAUGACUGAAAUACAGCCCAAAUUCAUUAUUGAGGUGCAGGGCUCCCUGGACACCCAGCCUGUCUUCCUGCCCAUACUACUACAGUACAUUCUGCUGCCAGGCUCAGAUCCACUGUGUGCCUUCCACCCUGUGUUGGAGAGACCGUGCCUGCGUUCCUGGGGGAGCAGGACUGGGGCCGCAGGAGGUGCCCGUCCUGCUAAUUAGAGUGUGCUGAGGAGGAACUCACUCAGCUCUGUCUGGCUUGACAUUAAGACCUAAAUUUGCUGUAAAACCAAAUGGAUACGCACACCCACAUCUAUAAGGCUUUUAGUUCAGCAACAAGUGAAUCCAUCAAAGCUCAGCACCUAAUUUAAUAGCAAUAAUGAAAGGUGUGCGUCACUAUUAAUUUAAGCACUCCAACAUUAGCCUUGCACUUAGAAACCAGCAAGGCAAAGCUAUUUACAAAUGAAUGUACCAGGGCAAUAAAUUGAAAGUACUGGUUUGA